rnacentral:rRNA from 1 species
CUUGGUCAUUUAGAGGAAGUAAAAGUCGUAACAAGGUUUCCGUAGGUGAACCUGCGGAAGGAUCAUUAAUGAUUGCGAAUCGUUGCCUUCUGUGCUGGCCAGAAACUGGCAAGUGCACGUCGGUGACUUUCAUCCAAUACCCUGUGAACCAUUGGCCUCUUGCUAGCUUCGGCCGGCAGAGGAAUUUUACACAAACUCGAAUGUAAUGAAAUUUAUUGUCGUGCGCAAGCACUAAUGUACAACUUUCAACAACGGAUCUCUUGGCUCUCGCAUCGAUGAAGAACGCAGCGAAAUGCGAUAAGUAAUGUGAAUUGCAGAAUUCAGUGAAUCAUCGAAUCUUUGAACGCACCUUGCGCUCCUUGGUAUUCCGAGGAGCAUGCCUGUUUGAGUGUCAUUAAAUUCUCAACUCUGAUCGAUUUGUUUCGACUUCGGAGCUUGGAUUUGGAGCGUGCUGGCGUCGGUCGGCUCCUCUUAAAUGCAUCAGCGGAAUCUAACGUUUCGGAUGUCAGUGUGAUAAUCAUGUUGCGCUGUCUGUCUGAUCCGAAAGCCCGCUCACAAUGGUCUUCGGACAACUUCAUAUCAAAUUUGACCUCAAAUCAGGUAGGACUACCCGCUGAACUUAAGCAUAUCAAUAAGCGGAGGA